rnacentral:lncRNA from 1 species
UUGAAUCUUNAAAAAAAAGAAAGAAAGAAAGAAAGAAAGAAAGAAAGAAAGAAAGAAAGAAAGAAAGAAAGAAGAAAAAAGAAAGAAAGAAAGAAAGAAAGAAAGAAAGAAAGAAAGAAAGAAAAAAUCAAAUUGGCUCAAACAAAAGGAAAAAUUCACUAUGGAUCCCAGGCAUGGUUCUAUCUCAGUGUCUGAGUCGUCACAGUGACCUUGGGGUCUGGUUCUGCUGUCUUCAGUUGGCUUCAGCCUCAGUGGGCCCUUUCCAUGGUUGCAAGAUGGUGGGCAGCAAACCACAUCAGGAAAAGGUGGUAUGUUCUGGUGUUUCUGCCUUUAGAAGAAAGGAUAUCUUUCCACAGGCCUUCAAUUGGCCCAUCCUUCUGUCUCAUCGUCAGAAAUGGGUCACGUGAUCACUCCUGUUCAAUGGCCCACAAAGCGAUGCAGCCACCGUUGCUGGCCUUUUCAACCAAGAUCCCCAAGUCCUUUGCCAGCAAUCAGAAAUAUUUGCUACUAGAACCUACUGGAAAGAGAAAGGUGGAAUUGGAGAAGAUGAUGUUGGUCAGUGAGGGCACCAGCCUAGUGAACUGAUUUCCAAAAAGCCCAGACUUUAUGGAAAUCCUCGCCGACUCCCCGAGAAGCCUGCUAAUCAAGGGAGGGUGAUUUCUGAGAGCUCCCCAUCUGCCUUCCUCCCUCUGUUUGGUGAGUGCUGUUCUGUCUGGGUUUUUGCUGUGCUGGCUGCUUGGAGCUCCCUGAGCUCUAUGGCUCAGUUGGACCCCCCAAGGAAUGGUGGUUAGCUGCUAUUUCAACAGAAACCACUAGUUUGUGGAGGAAGGGAGCAGGCCUCCCUCCCGGGAAGGCUGAUUUUCUCUCCUUUCUGUUCCAUCUGUGCCUAGUGCCGAACCCUCUAGAGGUGAUGAUGUAGUUCAUGGUGCGCAGCGUGGGCUGGGAGGGAAGGAGAAAUCCACCAGCCUCGUCUCACGCUUAUUCCAACCCAAGCCUCCAAGAAUUAAAACCAGUUGGCAACAUCCUGGAAAGGAAGAUUUGUCUCUUAAAUCUACAGAAGGGAAAAGUUUUUUGUUUCAUGUCUCUGAGGAGUUUUUGUGUGUGUGGUUUUUUUUUAUGGUGGUUUUGUUCACAAUGGAAAAAAAACCCAAACCAAAAACUUCCCCACGAUGGUCCUGGUGUUUAUACCCCAUGCAGACUCUGAAAGCACCAAGGAGGAAAGGCACACAAGCUCGUUUCGCGAGGCAGCCUGCUAAUUUCAUUUGCCACCACGGUGUUCCCAUCUGCUAAGGGACCGGCCCAGACAAUUUUCCAUGGAUAAUUCACAGUCCUUUGUAAUUUCAGCUCAAGCAGAAUCAACAGCUUGACCGAAAUGCUAUGGCGAGGAUUCAAAGGGUGGCUACUCCCACGUUCUGUCCUUGCUUCACACCAGCGUUGGCCUGUUCCCAUGCACACCUCUGGUUCCCACUCUCGGGGUCUCUCCUUCUUUCUCCCUACCUUGUUUCAC